UGUUGUGGCCGUCCCAUCUUGAGAAUGCCUCAUCUCGUCUGAUCUCAUUUGUUAAGCAGAACUGGGCCAGGUUAGGACUUGGAUGGGAGAACGCUGGAAAUACCAAGUGUCACAGAGG
rnacentral:rRNA from 1 species